CAUCGUUUCCAGCCUCUGCUCUGCUCCUGUUUCUCCUCGAGCUCUUUUGAAAUCCUGUGAGGAAAGAAAAGACAACAAACUGAUGUACAGUAAGGCGGAGGUACUGUAUGGAGGACCCCAGUGGGAGCGGGAGCCACUGCGCCUGCGUGCUGCUGGAGGGUUGUUUCUCCUCCUCUACCCCUCCCACAUUCAGAUCUCUCUCUCUUCUCUCUCUCUCUCUCUCUCCCCCCCUCCCUUCCUACCUCCUCCUCAAUUCAAAUACAGUUCCUCGCCGUGUUGGACAUGUGAUGAAAAAGUGACGGCUUCGCGCGCUCCGCUACGCCUUCUAUUUCAUCAUCAGCAACACCCCCCUCUUCACUACGCGUUCACUGUCUCCUCCUCUCCCUCUCUCUCUCUCUUUUUUUCACCCCCCCCGUCUUUCUUCUUCCCCGUUUCGUUUGCUCCCCUCUUUCUGCUCCAGCCUCACGCAAGGGGGAGACUGAAGCUCUGCGAGGGGAAAAGAGAGAGAG